UCUGCCAAAGCCAAUUGGAAA
ensembl:piRNA 21ur-14965 ncRNA